AGUACGGCCGCAAGGCUAAAACUCAAAAGAAUUGACGGGGGCCCGCACAAGCGGUGGAGCGUGUGGUUUAAUUCGAUGCUAAGCGAAGAACCUUACCAGGACUUGACAUGCCGGUAGUAGGAACCCGAAAGGGUAACGACCCCGGGGUAACCCGGGGAGCCAGCACAGGUGCUGCAUGGCUGUCGUCAGCUCGUGCCGUGAGGUGUUGGGUUAAGUCCCGCAACGAGCGCAACCCUUGCCGCUAGUUACACUCUCUAGCGGGACAGCCCCCCACAAGGGGGAGGAAGGUGGGGAUGACGUCAAGUCAGCAUGGCCCUUACGUCCUGGGCCACACACACGCUACAAUGGCCGGUACAAUGGGUCGCCAAAGCGCAAGCUGGAGCCAAUCCCAUCAAAGCCGGCCCCAGUUGGGAUCGCAGGCUGCAACUCGCCUGCGUGAACGUGGAAUCGCUAGUAACCGCAGGUCAGCACACUGCGGUGAAUACGUUCCCGGGCCUUGUACACACCGCCCGUCACGUCAUGGGAGCCGAGAACACCCGAAGUCGCUGAGCUAACCCGUUAGGGAGGCAGGCGCCGAGGGUGGGCCCGGUGACUGGGACG
rnacentral:rRNA from 1 species